rnacentral:lncRNA from 1 species
AUCUCUAAAUUGACAGUGACAAUGCUAAAACGUGGAUGAAAUUUUAUUUUGCCUUUUCGAUUUGGUGGAUCAACAUUUGUAAGAAUUCCUUGAUGGCUAUCUUCUGGACUACGAGAUUACAAGAGUAAGCUUCGAAUUAAUGAGGUCCUUUCCAAGACGUAUUUAGGAAUAUUGGAACCAAUGAGAACUAUGGGAAGACAUCGACAACCCCAGGCGAAUGGACGGCAUCCUGCAGCAUCCCAAUGAGCAAGAAUAUACAUAAUUCGAAUCAUCACGGAACAUAUGAUGAAAUGGAUUCCCUUAAGGUGGCGGUAUGCUGCUGAGUGACCAAAGAAGUUCAUUGCUAACCAAUGGCGAGAAACUUUGACCCCAUUACGAGAACACAAUCCUUGAUCACCUCAUUGUAUAAAUCGUUUCCCUGACAGGUGCCUUCACCGACUCCCGCUAGAACAGAUUAUACACUGCCUAUGGUGUAUACUUUGUGUUAGCGGGUGUCGGAGAAGCCACCAGUCAGGGAACGAUUUAUACAAUGAGAUGGGCAAGAUCUUAAAUAGUGAUUCCGCUCUUAUGGAUGGCAUUUGACCAUUAAAAAGAAAGUUAUACUCAAAAUCUAAGCGCAUAAAAGAGAACUAGUGAGACUGGAACUUAUAUUAU